GCAGCUGCACUCAGCUGUCUGUGUUUUGUCCCAAAGAAGAAGCUUCUCAUUUCCUACAAAAUGCUGCAAAUCCCCAUCUUCUUGCGUCUGCAACUAUCUCUUCAAUCUUCUCUUAUGUAUGGAACCGAUAUCUAUGCAUUGGUUGCUUCAAUCCCGUCGAGGAAAUCGCCGUCCAUGUGGGUCUCAUUCAUGCAUAAAUCAAGCGGAGGGAAAAGACCCAAGAAGAAAAUCUACCCCAGGGUCCAUGUUCUUGACAGAGUCAUGGACCUACAGAAGAAGCCCUCCUUAAUUCUGCAGCUGAAGUCCAUCGUCCAAAGCCAGAAACAGCAGUGUCUUCUUCUUCGGGACCUCGAAAAGCAAGUUGGGUUCGUUAAAAAAUGGAACCUUAUGGCUGUAAUUGAGAAGUACCCAUCAAUAUUCUAUGUGAGUAGUGGCCACAGAACACCCCCUGCUGUUAUGCUUACUGAAAGAGCUGCAAAUAUUGCAGAAGAAGAAGCUCAUGCUCGACAGCUGAUGGAACCCAUUUUGGUUAAGAACCUGAGGAAGCUAUUAAUGCUGUCUGUGGAUUGCAGAGUUCCUCUUGAAACGAUAGAAUUCAUUCAAGCGGAAUUAGGGCUGCCUCCUGGCUUCACAGACUCGCUGAUUCCAAAGUACCCUCAAUUUUUCACCGUAAAAGAUGACAAUGGGAAGGCUUAUCUUCAAUUAGAGAAUUGGGAUUCUUCUCUAGCGGUGACUGCCCGGGAGAUGGCAUGUGAAGAAACACUGAAAUCUGAUGGGUAUGCUAAGAGGCCUAAGCCUAAGGUCUCCAAAGAUGGUAACUUUUCCGGUCCUUUUGCGUUCCGCUUAAGUUUCCCACCUGGUUUUAGGCCAAACAAAAAUUAUCUUGAGGGAAUUGAGAGGUGGCAGAAGAUGGAAUUCCCUUCUCCGUACUUGAACGCACGGAGAUUUGAGGCUGCAGAUCCAAAAGCUCGGAAACGGGCGGUGGCUGUGCUUCAUGAACUCCUUAGUUUGACAAUGGAGAAAAGAUUGACAUCUGCACAAUUGGAUGCAUUUCAUGCGGAGUAUUUCUUACCAUCUAAGUUAUUGCUUUGCUUAAUUAAGCAUCAUGGUAUAUUUUACAUCACUAAUAAAGGCGCAAAGAGUACAGUCUUCCUUAAAGAGGCCUACAGUGGGUCAAACUUGAUUGAUAAAUGUCCUCUGUUGAAGUUCAAUGAUAAAUUUGCAGAACUUAGUGGCAGGAGAGAUUAAUAUGUGGAAUGGGAUGGCUACAUCGACUCUCAAUUUGGUAUUUUUUGAUCUUAUGCAGUUAUCUAUAUGAAUGCCCAUGGACAUAAGGUAUGCUCUGAAACCAUGUUUCAGAUGAUUCAGGUUGUUAUAUGCUUGGCAUGCUCUACCAAUCAAUUAGUCUAGCUUCGGAUCACCUUAGUUAUUCCUUUGCACAAUUUCUUUAUGGGAGCAUUUGACCAAUUCAAGAAUGGCGCACAUCCACACAAUCACUGCUCUCUGUUUCAUUUGCAGUGACUACCAUUUUUUUUUUCUAACUAAACUUCUCUUACUUAUUAUUUCUAUUCAAAUUUCAUUCGGCACAUUCCAUUACUUUGUGUGACAUGUAAUGUUCUAUUUGAUAAUGGCUGCAGUUUUAUGCUUUUUGAAGUUAAUGAGGCUUUGAUUUUUAAUGCUAGGUCAAGCUUCAAUCAAUUUAGGUAGAAUCUAAAUAUUCCAUCUUUUUUUUUAAGGAUAUCGAGCUGUUGCUAAGCAAUAGAUGUAGUAUGGCCAUUUUUUUAUUUUAUUUUUUUUGGUAUUUACUUGUUAUGCAUGCUCUGUUCCAAUGUUGUGAUUGUUGCUGUUAGAAACAUGUGAGCAGUUAGAUGUUUGACACUUAUGCUACAUGCUUAACUAAAAAGAAAAUUAUAAAGGGCAGCCAAGUACUCAAAACUCCAGCAUAUGUGGGGUCCGGGGAAGGGGUAUCUGCUUAGGUAGUUCUUGACAAACAAUUGGGAAAGUGAUUUAUCGAUUCUAUGUGUGGAUUAAAUGCAUUCUAUUUUUCUCCAAAAGGAUACUACAAUGAAAGCUGUUAGGUUGGAUUCAUAGGUACAUGUAUUUGAUGAAAUAAUUUAUGAGAAUCAAAGUUAGUAGUGGUUUAGGAGAGUUGAGUCUAGUGGCACGGAUUAGCCUUAUCAGCGAGAUUUGUAAACUUCCAUUUGUUCUACUUCUUUUGAGUUAUAUAUAUAUCCAGAGUUUUAGUUGUUUGAGGUAUCUAUGUUCUUUUUCGUACUUGGAUUCCAUGGUAAUUAAUUUCCUUUAGUCCCAAAAGUUUUCAUUCAGUUUUUCAUCCCAACUACAUUCAUUAGUUUUACACGCAACAAUGCCUUGAGUAUGAAGUCCCACAUCGUGGGCUGGGCUAUAUGAUAUUUUUAUGUAUGUGUAUGCAAUAAAUUAUAUAAAUCUUAGAACCAUCCAUAAUUUCUACAGUUGUUAUUUGCUUACAUUUCCUUCUUUGUUUAGAAUAGGGACAUGUGAGAUAUUAUAUAUGUUCUUUUGGCUGACUAAUAUAUAUCAUAUGUUUCCGUAAAUACAUAUUUAUGUAAUCUAUGUACACAGACAUGCCAAGAGCAAACCCAACUGAAUUGGGAAUUUUUAGAAAAUCAGUUAAGGUGGCAUGGGUUAUCCAACUUAAAAAAAAAGAAAAAGAAAAACUGGCAGACUUCAAAAUAGUGUAGGAAAAAAAGGAGCUUGUUCUAAAGACUAUCAUAGUUAUAGUUUGAUUCGGUGCAGUAUGGUGGUGGUUCUCUUACUUGUAGGUUGGAGAGAAGCUAAUGGUCAUUGAUUAUAUAUUUUAUUUGUAUGAUUUUUUUGUUUAAUAGUGAUUUAUCAUAUAAUUUCUAUAGGGUGUUUUAACCAUUAUUUCUUGGCUCAACUGUUUAGGAGGGGUGAUCUUCAAGUAUAUUAAAUUCCCUAAUUUUGUUAUUAUUGCAUUGAAUUCCAGUUUCCUUGUGUGCAAUAGAUUAGGUUUUUAGCUUUGGAUUUUGGCACAUUGACCACUUUAUCUAUAUAUUCAAUAUAUCAGAAAAUCUAAAAAAUUGUGAUGUGUUUGGGAACUUGGAGUUUGGACCUUGGAUUGGGGAUUGUGUGGAUUUGGACAAAAUGCAAUACAAAAUUGAAUUGAAUUCCAUCCCAAUCCAAAUAAUUUCUAGGGCCUGCUAUCCAUGCUCCGAAACCCAACCUAUUUAAGUUUGGAUAACUUUUGAAAUUUUCUUCUACAUUUUUUCAAAUGAUUUGUGAAAAAUUAAAUAUCUUGCUUUUGUUAUUUUGAUGUUGAUUUCUAGUGAAUGGCUGCCUAGGUUGGCCUAAUUUUGGGUGCACUGCAAUUGCUUGUCUUGAGUGUUCCGCUCUGCUAAUAAGCCUCUACGUAGAAAGGCCGAGUGGUUCUCAAUAACUCCAAUGCAGAUGAUGACGAUGAUCAAUGGAGUGUUGAACUUAUUCUCAUGCAUGUGGGUAUGUUGGACCUGUUCAUAAUUCAGGUAGUUGGACUGUUGAACCUGUUCAUAAUUCAGAUAAAUGGAUAUGGAAGGAAUAACACUGCAAAGGCACCUACAAGAAAUCAAAAAGGUUAGAAAAUUAUUUGUAGAAAUUCAUAUGCAAGACAUGCACAGGAUUUAAGAAGAAAUCCAAGAAGAAAAUGUAGUCACGUAUUGAACAUCUGUGAACCAAGCCAGAUGUUGGAGGACUUGCCCUGUUUUUGUUGACAGGGGUGAGAUACAAGCAGCAUUGAGACCAUAUUAAGUCUUUUCUGAAAACUGAGCUCCUGUUGCCGCCCCGGGGGGGGGGGGGGGGAGGGGAAGCUUCCCCUGGAAAGCCAUAUGAAGUUCUGCACUGACUGAUGUUGUUUUGAGGUGAAGAACCCCAAAGAGGGGGAUCCUUGUUAACAAGAGUUCUCUCUGCAAAAAUACUGUUGAAAUUGUACAGCGCACUAUUAGAAAACAAAAAUCAAUUGUACAGCACAUCGUACUUUAUUACAUUUAGACGAAUUAUUUGCGGAAUUUGGCUUACCCUACCAUUGGCAUUUGUUGGGCAGCAGCCACAUGUAUUGAUGAUGAACUGUGGGUGUGGAAGGGGUCAGCAUUCCAGUGCAGGGAGGGAAAGGCUCAUUGUUUUUAUUCAUCUCACAAUGUUGUUGGGUUGUGUGGAGGGAUACAAAUAGGAGUUCAAAUGAUGUGUGCAUCAAAAGGUUGAAAUUUUUGUUUAGUGGGAGGACUUUUCAAAUGUACAAGCUGUUUUAGACUUUUUAAUGAUUUUAUGUCUUGUAAAUGAGGCUUUUUGGCGCCUUUUUAUGAAUAUUUGCUCUUACCUUAUCCAAAGAAA